CCUACGGGUGGCAGCAGUCGAGAAUCAUUCACAAUGGGGGAAACCCUGAUGGUGCGACGCCGCGUGGGGGAAUGAAGGUCUUCGGAUUGUAAACCCCUGUCAUGUGGGAGCAAAUUAAAAAGAUAGUACCACAAGAGGAAGAGACGGCUAACUCUGUGCCAGCAGCCGCGGUAAUACAGAGGUCUCAAGCGUUGUUCGGAAUCACUGGGCGUAAGGCGUGCGUAGGCUGUUUCGUAAGUCGUGUGUGAAAGGCGCGGGCUCAACCCGCGGACGGCACAUGAUACUGCGAGACUAGAGUAAUGGAGGGGGAACCGGAAGUCUCGGUGUAGCAGUGAAAUGCGUAGAUAUCGAGAGGAACACUCGUGGCGAAGGCGGGUUCCUGGACAUUAACUGACGCUGAGGCACGAAGGCCAGGGGAGCGAAAGGGAUUAGAUACCCCAGUAGUC
rnacentral:rRNA from 1 species